AUAGCGGAAAUUCAGAUGGGCUCAAUUGAAGAAAAUUUGGACUUCUAAGCCGAGCUAUUGGAUGAUGGGAAUUUGUGGAGAUGUGUGGGAUUUUUCUUCGGCGAAAUUGGAUUUCGAAUUUGAGAAAUUGAGGAUGAAAUUGAAAUCCAAAAUUAAGGGAAAUUCGGAGCUAGGCAUGGAGGGGUGCAACAUUGGUCAUCAAAUUGGUUUAAUUGAGGAUUAUAUUGCAAGAAAGUAUUGGGGGACAAAGGUUUAAUUGAAAGGAUAAGCUUGAAGACUAUUUGGUAAUCUAAUGAUGGUUUUAGAUAUUUGUUUGACUAUUCUUCCCCUCCAUCCAAAGCUUCUCCGGCACGCCUAACCAGCUGGCCUCGCCGACUCCAUCUCCAUCGGUUGCUGCUUUACUUUUCAUUUUCUCCUUCAUUGUCAAUCACCGAAGCAAGCUGUCUCUCUCCACUGAAUUUCUCUCUCUCUGCACGCGUCCCUCUUCCCCAGCGAGCCAAGCCACCAAAACAGCCCCACCGAAGUCACCAAACCACCAAACUCUUCCCCAUCUUGUUGACCGAAGCUACUCCAGCUUCUGCCGCAGCUCCACGUCCGCUUUUCUUCACCCAAGCAGUGAUCAAAGCUGCUGCCAUCCACCAUCACCUGUCCCACACUGACGUUCUCUCUCUCUCUAUUUGCUGCCGUCUCCACUGAAGUUCCUGCGGCUGCCUCAACGUCAAAGUCCAACGAAGCUGCUUUCCCUUUCGAUCGAAGCCGUGGCCACGUUGAGUCAACCUUCAGCAGCUUCUCUCAAGCAGAACCGGUUUUGUUGACUCCUCAGCCACUCGUACGAAGCAAAGCUCCACCGAUUCUUCCUUCCGCCAGCUGCCAUCUCUCGCGUCUUCAACCCCGACGCCAGAUCACUUCACCAGGUCAACCGAAGCCCAUCUGUUCAGCUUCUUCGGUCCACUGCAGCGCCCCACCCAGCAAGGACGUCUGCUGCCUUCCACCUUCGUCAGUCAACCCCAGCUGCCAUUCACGUUGCGGUGUCUCCCCAGCAGAGACCGAAGCCAUCCUGUGAUCUCUCCCCCUCUGCCAGCGGACGCCAGCUGCUCUCUCAUUCGGUUUGUUGACCGAAGCAGCUGCUGCUUCCUUCGUGGGCCACGCCAGCCCACGUUGCUGCUGCCCAGCAUCCCCAGCGUGGUCUUCUCCAGCAACAU
rnacentral:lncRNA from 1 species